GCUUUUAUGCUGUUAUUGAGAAUUUGAUUGAAUGAGCAGGCGUUGUAAACUAUUCUAUGCAUCAAAAAGCCCUAUGUUCUGCGCAGUGCUCCUCCCUCCGAGUCCAGUGACUUUUUAAUAACUCACUUUUCUAAAGUUUUAACUUGGAUUUCUGUCACGUUUAAACGCCACCGCUCCUGGAUCUCUCUCUAUGCUGUGCCCUGCCUAGUAUUUCUGAGUCCCCUGAAAUAGGCUGUCUGCAUUCUCUUUUUUAAUGCACUGGGCCCUUUCUUUCAAAUUAGUCAGUUUGUUUCAGAUCUUGUCAUUUCUGCUAUAGGUGACUGCUCAAGAUGUGGCUUCCUGUAGUUCAGAGAUAGUUUUCAAAACUGCCUCAAGCUUAUGUAGUAGUGUUAAGAAUAAACAGGUGUGGAACAUAUGGCCUAUAUUUGAAUAGUUGUGGGAAUAACUGUGGGAACAUGGAGCAGCAAGAAUAAGCUGUGGGACCAAUGGGCUGUGGGAACAUAGAGCAGCUGACCCCCAACAGGGUCUUCAUGGUUGUAUGACCUGAAUACAUUUUCAAAGCGGAGCCACAGGAUGCGGACUUCUACUCUUUUCCACUAUUAGACGCGCCUUUGUCCUGCACCUGGCCUCAGCGAGGUGGGAUGUGCAUACUCUUACUUUUAUAAAAAUGUUGUAUAUUGACCACUAAUUCUGUGCAUGCUGUCAUACAGAGAUGAUGACCCAUUCCUGAAGUUGGACGCCAGAAUGCAGGAAGGUGCUGUUUAAGAGCCUAGGCGGUGGAAGAAGCACUUGCAGGUAUGCUACCGACCAGGCUCCUCAACAUCAAUCCGAGACCGAAGAUGAACCGGGAUGAAGCAGUUAGAUUGAGACAAGGCGGCCGGAAACUUUGAUGACCUCAAUGACACUGGCUAGGUGAAGGACAUCAAGAAAAUGGCAUCCGGUCACCAGACAUCAGCUCAUAAGCCACAACGUCAUCAACCAUUUUGCGCCAAAAAUGAAGCCGUUCACAUACCAUGGCAUCCUAAGCAGGCAGCACCACACUACUGUGCAACAGUGAGAGAGAGCGGGCAAGGACAAGUAAAACGGACCUACACUACAGCAAGACUUUGACACUUCUCCACGUGAGAGGCAGCCAUCGCCCCCACCGUGGAGCAGUGUGUACCCAGUACCCCCAAAAGAGGAGAUGAUCCGACGCCAUCACAGCCGAUUUCCAAAAUUGUACACCAAACUCUGUAUGGGCGUGUGUGUGUGUGUGUGUGAGAUAUUGUAAAACUUUUCAGUCCUUCUUCUAUACUAUACAGUGUAUAAAUAUGCAUGUGAAAACCUAAAUAUGCAUUAAAAACCAUUACUGAGGUUAAGAAAUGCAUUAUAACAAAUACAUCUGAUUCAGGUGUACUGUACAUUGAAAUGUCUUUAUUUGCCACAAAUACAUCACAUCCUGGAAACCUGUACAAUGUGUGGAUUCAAAGGUCUGCCAGAUCUUUGUGAUGGCACAGGAUUGCAGUGGAACCCAAACAUAGCCUAGGAGCUCCCACGCCAUCUCACCAACUGCCGAUAUGCAGUAUGCCUGAAUUUCCUGUACAGCAAAGAAAUGUAGAGAUUGUGCCUUCAUCGAGAAUAGGUCAUUUGGAAUCACAACAAUUAUUCAAUUUACUUUGUGCGUGUGGUGUAGCUAUUGCUGUUAUUAUGUUACUACUAGUGACCCAUUUAGUUGAGCUUAAUAGUCUACAUGACAUCUCUGCACUUGUGUUACCACUAUUGGGAUUGGCUGCUCCCUAAAUGAAAAUGAGAAAAACUUGCCCGGAUGAAAUGUUAUGAACUGUGUGCGUUGUGCUGCUUGCUGAAGUAACAUGACACCCACAUCACCUUCCAGAAAUAAAGUGUAUACAGGCUACCUAACCAGAGUCCUAGAGACCUGUUGCUGCUGUGUGAUGAAAUCCAGGCAAAGACCCACCUGCUUUGGCAAUUGCUGCAACAUGUAAAAAAGGUAGACAGAUUAGGCCCCUGUAGAUAUGGCAUGUGUAGAUGGAUUCACUUAAUUCUUUAACCACUUAAAUGGCUUGGGUCAGACAAGCUGGGCUGCACACUGACCUCUUCCAUGUUGCCCAUGUGGUUUCGUUGGCUGUGUGUGACCACCUCCGUACAGGGGCAGAUUUAUUUAUUUAUUAUUUAUUUAUUUAUUUAUUAAAAUGUCUGCACCUUUUUAUUAAAUGUAUUGCAUUGCACUGGUAUCACAUUGCAUUAAAUGUACUAGCCAAGUGACACAAACAGAGCAGGUAAAUACAGUCUUGAUCUGUACCAUUUAUGUCACUUCUUAAAGAUUCAAUUAUUCAACUCUAUAUUCGAAGAGGCCGGUAUUGCGCUACCAUUUUCCAUGAACCAGUCAACUUCUGGGAGUCAUUGCAGUACUUUGAGAAAGUGAUCUUACUUUCUAGCCUAAUCAUUCAUUGUGCUUGUGUCAGUAUUGUAGUGUCAUUGGUUAUUUACAGUGUGUCGACGCCAUCUACUGGAUACUCCACUCACGGUUCAUUUUCUAUCCACUUAAUCAUUUCAUUCCAAAGCACAGAGUGAGCUCUUUGAUGCAAUGUAGGCUAAAUUCACCCAGAGCUCUAGUUGUGUAUACCCGUUGGAUCGCUGAAUACAUAGCCUACAUUAAAUCCAU